CGUAGGGUGCGAGCGUUAAUCGGAAUUGCUGGGCGUAAAGCGUGCGCAGGCGGUUAUGAAAGACAGGCGUGAAAUCCCCGGGCUUAACCUGGGAACUGCGUUUGUGACUCCAUGACUCGAGUACGGCAGAGGGGGGUGGAAUUCCACGUGUAGCAGUGAAAUGCGUAGAGAUGUGGAGGAACACCGAUGGCGAAGGCAGCCCCCUGGGCCAGUACUGACGCUCAUGCACGAAAGCGUGGGGAGCAAACAGGAUUAGAUACCCUGGUAGUCCACGCCCUAAACGAUGUCAACUAGUUGUUGGUAGGGUAAAACCUAUUAGUAACGGAGCUAACGCGUGAAGUUGACCGCCUGGGGAGUACGGCCGCAAGGUUA
rnacentral:rRNA from 1 species